rnacentral:ncRNA from 1 species
AAAUGAAACGGCGCCGAUUUGAAUUGAACAGCUUGCGGGCGCGUUAAAAAUUCAGCUAAAGCGGAUGGCAGUUUGACGCC